rnacentral:snRNA from 1 species
GUGAUAGCUUCAUCAGUACAUAUACUAAAAUUGGAAGGUUAACAUGGCCUCUGCACAAGGAUGACACACAAAUUCAGGAAGCAUUCCUUAUAGAA